AGCAGCCGCGGUAAUUCCAGCUCCAAUAGCGUAUAUUAAAGUUGUUGCAGUUAAAAAGCUCGUAGUUGAAUUUCGGGGUUAGUAUGUUGGUCAUGCCUCUGGUAUGUACUGGUCUCACUGAUUCCUCCUUCCUUAUGAACCGUAAUGCCAUUAAUUUGGUGUUGCGGGGAAUUUGGACUGUUACUUUGAAAAAAUUAGAGUGUUUAAAGCAGGCUAACGCUUGAAUACAUUAGCAUGGAAUAAUGAAAUAGGACGUUCGAUCUUAUUUUGUUGGUUUCUAGGAUUGACGUAAUGAUUAAUAGGGAUAGUUGGGGGCAUUAGUAUUCAAUUGUCAGAGGUGAAAUUCUUGGAUUUAUUGAAGACUAACUACUGCGAAAGCAUUUGCCAAGGAUGUUUUCAUUAAUCAAGAACGAAAGUUAGGGGAUCGAAGAUGAUCAGAUACCGUCGUAGUCUUAACCAUAAACUAUGCCGACUAGGGAUCGGAUGAUGUUAAUUUUUUAAUGACUCA
rnacentral:rRNA from 1 species